rnacentral:lncRNA from 1 species
GGAGAAUCAGCCAUAAACAAACUUUUGAUCAGAAAAAAAAAAUAACAUUACAGAACUUUUACAAGUGAGCUUAAUUAAUAGACUUGUCCUAAACCAAGAAACCAUGAGGAAACCUAAUGCUUACAAAUGAUCAACUAAAUAGUCUGGAAACCCCAUAUAAGAAACCAAAGAAACCAAUAGAAAUUUAUAAGAUAUAAGAAUUUCAAAUUAUUAUUUUUUCCAAAUAUAAUGAAUAUAAUCAAAGUUAGAUGAAGAAACUUACAUUGUCGAUGGUAUCAAAGAGCUUCGUGGUGAGAUCCUUGAGGGGCUUCUUCUCGUCCUUGGGUUUGGAGGAAAUGAUUGUGUUAAGGUCAUAACGAAGAUAAGAAGCCUUGGAACGGAGAUCGUUCUGAACAUAUGGCCAAGCUUUCUUUUCGAUCAGUGACUUCACAUUUAUGAUAUCCUUGGCUGACUCUUUGGCUCUAGCUGCAGCUUCUGUUGGUGGCAAUGGCUGUAAAUAAAAUCUGUUUUUCAAUGCCAAUGAAAAGUCUCUUGCUUGGUCUGAGUUAUCUGUCCCAGCUGCUCAUUAAAACAAAACACAAUGUUGUCACCAUAGAAAAUAUAUAUAACCAUUAACCAUCUUUAAGUGUUAUCUAUUGUCUAUGCUUAUAUUUCAGUUACUCUAAGCUACAAGUAACAAAAAGAGAACUAGAAAACCAAAACCAAAACCAAACCAAUCUCAAAUCAAGAUUAAACAUUAUUCUUCUUCAUUCCCACUCAGAACACAUGCUUGAUUAUUAUGAACUCUAUCAAUUCUUAUAUAAAAAAGGAUUAAGCAGCAACAUUGUAACUUGAAGUUACUAACUUGUAAGCUUACAACAAUGUAUCAUAUUUUAAGAUAAAUUAAGCAAAGGUUGUUCAUCUAGAUUGCUUAACCUAAAUUACGUUUCCUAAUCUCAUAAGUCAUAACAAAAAUGAGAAAGGUAAUCAAUCGUUUUGAAAGAUUAGAUAGUUGACUUACGAAGACCACCGGAAGGAGGUGGAGGAGGGCCAACUUUGAUCGGAUUAGCAUCAGCUAGGACAGCCUGAACAAACGAUCCUCCGACCAAACCAGCAGCCACAAGUCCAAUCACAGAUCGACGAGAAGUCUCCUCACUCUGCUGAGCUCUGACCACAAGUCUAGACCUUUGAGCCACCGACACUCUUCCGGUAACGUUCAUCAGACGGCUCGAGCCGUUGAUCUUGCUUCCUUCAAGAACCGCCGGUGAGGCACCACGUAAUCCACCCAUUGAAGCCAUUUUUCUUUAUCUUUUUCAAGACGAAAAUUGAACGCAAUGAUGAUUGGCUAUAACGCUUAUAUGGUUGGUAAGCUUCAGUCUCCGACACAGAGCGCCUUAUCUGCACUUUAGAUAACUUGGAUAUGGUUUUGACCACUGAUGUUAAGCCAUGUGUCAUCUUCGUUCUUCUGUUCGGCCUAAAAGCCACGUGGCAAGAAGGACAUUUAAAUAUAUUGGGCCGGUUACUUUAGUUUACAGGCCUUUAGCCCAUAAUAUUUUUCUUUUAUUUUUCUAAAUAAUUUGUGUUAAAACUAGCGAAAGAAGGAAAUGAGAAUAUCGUUAUAAUAAUUCCAAAAGUCCGCCACAUCUAAUUUCAAAAUCGUUUCGAAUUUCAAAACUACAGGCUCCUGCUUCAGUCUCUCACACAAAAACACACAAAAAAUCCCCAAAUUAGGAAAAAGCAAGAACCCUAGAUCCUCGUCUUCGAUUGAGAAGUUCGCAGUCUGAUUCUCUGAGAAUCAAUCGGAGACUGCUGCUAGAGGACACUGCGUCAUUAAAUCGAAUUUUGGGAGAAGACUCCGAUUUGGAAUUUGUAUGCGAUUGACGAGAGAGGAAGGAGACGAGAUCUGUAAGAAAUUUUGNNNNNNNNNNNNNNNNNNNNNNNNNNNNNNNNNNNNNNNNNNNNNNNNNNNNNNNNNNNNNNNNNNNNNNNNNNNNUCGUAUUUAGGGUGUUGUUCAGUUGACCAGAUGAAACUAUUAUGGUCUUAUUCUCAUCGGCUUUGACAUUUCUUAUCGAGAAAUUUAGGGUAGUUGUGGUGGGUUCUGGGAUUCUACUUUUCCUGUAGCUGAAUAUGAGUCUCCUUACAAAAUUGAUGUAACAUAUGUCGCUUUACUUGCUUUGUGUAUGAUUUAUGUUUGAUGAUUUGGUCUCAUUUCAGAAAAAGGAGGGUCGCAAUGGUAUUCCAUUUGACAAGCGAAGGAAAGUGGAAGCGCAAGGGACUGGGAGAAGACAAGCGUUUUCUUCUGUGAACAAACAAGAUAUCACGACGAACAGUGAUGUUGGCAGCACAGAAGACUUUGGUAAAGUAGAGUUUACCAAAGAUGAAGUAUUGGCUUUGCUAAGUGAGAGAGCAAAAGCUGGGAAGUUUGAUACGAAGGUUUAUUAACUAGUUAAAACUUGCUCUAUGCUCUUAAACAUUGUAGAUGUUUUCUUCUGUGGUUUCACUCAGAAGAUCUUUUUUUUUUCCUCUGUCCCUACAGGCUAAGAUUGAGCAAUUGACAGAUAUUAUCAAGAGACUGAAGGGUUGUGUGAAAUGGUACCAACAAGCUGACGAAACCCAUGUCCAAGACAAGGAAAAUUUGAAGGUUUCUCUAGAAUCUGCUGAACAAAAAUACAACCACAAAGGUGAUUUUCUUUCUUGUGAUUCCUUUACAUGAAACAAGUUGUUCACGGAUUUGAUUGUAGUCCUUAACUUUUAAAAUUUUUAUAGAGUUGGAGGCUAAGACAAAAGAAGAAGAGCUACAGGCCACUAUAUCAAUUUUAGAAGAGCAUGUAGAGUCACUACAUGAUAAGCUUGCAAAGGAGGAGUCUAGUAAACAGGCAAGGCAUCUUUUUUCUCCUUGCGAACGUUUUCUCUUAAUACAAAUCUUUAAUAGAGUUUGCUUGCCUCUUGCUUCUUGGGCACUAGGAUGCCAUCGAAUGCCAUAGAAGAGAAAAAGAAUCUAGAGUUGCAGCUGAGAAAGUGCAGGCUUCUCUCAGAGAAGAACUUGAUAAAGUUAAAGAAGAGAAAAUGACUGCCCAGCAGAAGGUAUAUAACAUAUGUCUUCAGUUAUCUUCUUUAGGUGUUUCAUUUCUAUGUCUCGUGUUAGUUUCACAUGAACUGUUAGUUACCAAGGAAAAUUGGUUGUUUUAUAUUUGUAGGUCACGUCACUUGAGGAUAUGUACAAAAGGCUGCAAGAGUAUAACACAAGUUUGCAACAAUAUAACAGCAAACUGCAGACUGAUCUUGAAACCGUUCGAGCUGCACUCACACGUGCUGAAAAAGAGAAGUCAAGCAUCCUGGAGAAUCUUAGUACACUAAGGGGUAACAGCAAGUCGCUGCAGGAUCAAUUAGCUUCAAGCAGAGUAAGUUUCUCUUUUCUACCACUGGCCUUAUAUUCCCAUGCCUAAUUAAUUGGUCUCAUUUUUUCUUAAUUUGUUCCUCUUCCGUUUUUGCAUUCAAGGUUUUGCAAGAUGACGCUAUAAAACAGAAGGAUUCAUUGCUUUCGGAAGUUACUAAUCUCCGGAAUGAGCUCCAACAAGUAAGGGAUGAUCGUGAUCGCCAAGUUGAACAGUCACGGAAGCUAACUGAGGAAAUCGGAAAGUACCAGGAGAAUGUUGGGAAGUCAUCGCAAGAGCUAGACAUCUUAAUAAUGAAAUCAGGAUCGUUGGAGGUUAGUACUUUUUCGAAGUAUUGGAUGUCAGUUAAAAGUUGCAUUUCUCGAAUUCUUACCUCAUAUUUGGUUAGCUGACAUUUCAAUUUUAAUCCUUCAGGAAACAUGUUCAUUGCAAAAGGAGCGAAUAAGAAUACUAGAGCAACAAUUAGCAAUCGCCAAUGAAAAACAAAAGGUAGGGGGAUUAUCAAGUUUAUAUCGGAAGUUAAUGAAGUGCAUUACCAUCAGAUACUCUUUGUUUCAAAUAGCUUCUUUGAUAGAUAUUUGUAACUGUGAAUACAGAUGGCAGAUGCAUCAGUAUCUCUUACUAGAACAGAGUUUGAGGAGCAGAAGCAUCUACUAUGUGAAUUACAAGACCGCCUUGCAGACAGGGAACAUCAGCUGUGCGAGGGAGAGUUAUUGCGGAAGAAGCUUCAUAACACUAUUCUGGUAAGAAAAUGUUUCUUUUGGUACGAUUUUAUAUGUGGCAGUCUUGAUAUGAGCUAAGAGAAGUUGUAAACUCAGGAACUAAAAGGAAAUAUACGGGUGUUCUGCCGAGUGCGUCCCUUGUUACCAGAUGAUGGAGGACGACAUGAAGCAACUGUGAUAGCCUAUCCUACUUCAACAGAAGCUCGAGGAAGAAGUGUUGAUUUGGUUCAGAGUGGUAUGACUAUAGCCUGACUUGAAUUUUUUUUUCUUUUUUUUGCUACAGAUGACUAUUCCCACAUUAAACCUUUUUUUCCUGCCUCUUGUUAUCCUAUAUGUCAUCAGGGAACAAACAUCCUUUCACCUUUGACAAAGUUUUCAAUCACGAAGCUUCCCAGGAGGAAGUAUUCUUUGAAAUAUCUCAACUUGUGCAGAGUGCAUUGGAUGGAUAUAAGGUCUAUUCUCUUCAUUAAUUUAUUUAUUCUGGAUAUACUUGCUAUGUUAAUAAUUUUCUAGUUAAAGGAACUCGUUUGAAGUUGGAGUAUUUUGUAGAUGUAACUCCUUUUUUCAGUGUCAAAUUUGAAGACAGGUUCUAUUACUGAUGCCUUUGUUUUGAAUAUUUUGUGAUACAGGUUUGUAUCUUUGCCUAUGGUCAGACAGGUUCUGGAAAGACUUACACCAUGAUGGGCAGGCCUGAGACGCCAGAGCAGAAAGGACUGAUCCCGCGAUCACUUGAACAGAUAUUCCAAGCCAGCCAAUCACUCGGUGCACAAGGCUGGAAGUACAAAAUGCAGGUGUACAUUUCAGGCCAUAUUGCUGCUUGAUUUUACUGGCAUCACCUUUUCCCAACUUUAUUUUUUGGAUUUCAAAUUUUUCUUUAAAAUUUAGGUAUCUAUGUUGGAAAUAUAUAAUGAGACUAUCAGAGAUUUGCUCUCUUCAAAUCGAACAACAUCUCUGGAAUUGGUGCGAGCAGACAGUGGCACCUCAGGAAAGCAAUACACAAUCACACAUGACGUAAAUGGACACACCCAUGUCAGCGACUUGACAAUAUUUGAUGUAUGCAGCAUUGGAAAGAUAUCCUCUCUCUUGCAGCAGGCUGGUCAGAGCAGGUAUUGCCUUGGAACUUUUAUAAUGAUUUCUGGCCUGUUUUGCUAAGCCACGGAGUAUGAGAAUAUAGUAAUAGUCUUGUUCUUGUAGGCAUACAUGGUAAUUGAAAUUUGACUUUCUUGAAUGCAUAACGUUACAAAUAAAUAACUCUGUAUCAGUUAAACUAAACAUGGAGUGGAUUCUCUUUAUGCAGGUCAGUAGGUAAGACUCAAAUGAAUGAGCAAUCAUCUAGAAGUCACUUUGUGUUUACUAUGCGGAUUUCAGGUGUUAAUGAGGUAAUAAUUUCUUUACCAUCUGGAAUUGGUUCUUGCAUUAUAGACUUUCUUUCCUACUUUGAAAUACUUUAUUUAUCAACACAUCCCACCUCUUUCAGAGCACCGAACAGCAGGUACAAGGUGUUCUCAAUCUAAUCGAUCUUGCUGGAAGCGAGAGGCUAUCAAAGAGUGGGGCAACUGGAGACCGAUUAAAGGAGACACAGGUUUUUUGCUGCUUCCAAACAUAAUUUUUUCCAAGCUAUUGGCUUCAGCAAAUCGGUACUGAUCUUUGUUUUGCACUACCACAGGCUAUAAACAAAAGCUUAUCAGCUCUGAGUGAUGUUAUAUUUGCACUGGCUAAGAAAGAAGAUCAUGUACCUUUUAGAAACUCGAAGUUAACUUAUCUGCUCCAGGUUUGUUUUCGCUGUUUAUAACAUUUGUGUCACAUAAAUUUUUAAAAUGUUGUUGUAGAUUAAGUAACAAUGAUGUAUCUUUGAACAGCCUUGCUUAGGGGGAGAUUCAAAAACCUUGAUGUUCGUAAACAUUUCCCCUGACCCAUCUUCUGCUGGAGAGUCUCUUUGUUCUCUUCGGUUUGCUGCAAGGGUGAACGCAUGUGAAAUUGGUAUACCUAGGAGACAAACUUCACAAAAGCUCAUUGACUCUCGCCUAAGCUACGGCUAAAACAGUUCAAAAAUAUUUGCCUAGUAGUAAUUCACAGCUCUUCUCAUGUGGGUUUUUGACACAUCUAUCUCUUCUCUUGUAACCUCUCAACCCCCAUUACUAACAAUUGAUUCGGGAUCUAUAUGAUUGUGGAGCAGCUUGCUGUCUUAGCAAUGUAGCUUUCUCCAAGUUGUAUGAGAAACAUGAUCUUCUGCUAUUGAAUGUUAAAUGUAUUUUUUUCAGAUAGCUAUUCUUGUUCAUUUUCUUGCAGAACAUAAGACUUAUCACAUAACAUUAGCAGCUACUUAACUGUGACGCAUAAACUGUUGUUUCCAGUGAAGGUCUUAGCUAUAGUUACAUCCCCAAGUUAUUAACUUUUACAAAACAUAUAAACAUUACAAUGCCAUUUUGCUCCAAAUUUACCUCUUACAUAGAAGUGUCAAUUCAGAGCCUCUGUUGUGAAAACAAGGAAAAAGAAGACGAAAAUAGAAACCAGUGCUUUUGUUUGGAUCUCUGUUGUUGAUGAUCCAUAUGUCUUAACAUGGCAGCUUGAAACCCAUGUCUUUGCCUGCAACAUAAUCAGUCCAAACAUCAAGAGCUCCAAAACUUGUCAUAAGGACUGUGCUUAGAGACAUCACUGUCCCAACCGAGAACACUAUAAUAGAAGCUCUUCCAAACUGAGCUACAGCUUUCUGAACCAAAACAAGUCCAAGAAGCGAAGCAACGAAGCAAAUCAAGGAAAACACAUAAGCUGUGUCUGUGUUUUGCAUUCCUAACAGCAAGUAUUGAACUGCAGACAUUGUUGCAGAGAAGAACACCAUGAAAGAAGUAGUUGCUGCUGUUAUCUGCAUCACUUAUCAUAUACUCGAUUAAAACACUUAAAAAGAAUUAGAAAGGUGGUGAGACAAUUUGCUUUUUUUCUUUUUAUAUACCUGUGGUGGUAUCCCAGUUUGAAGAAGAAGAGGGCUUAUAAGCAUUCCACCUCCAAUACCGAAUAUACCGCCCAAUAAACCUGCUAAAAAUGACAUUACCGGGAACAUUAACCGCGUGGACUGGUCCAGUCUUGUAUCUUCUUGAUUUUUCUGCUCAUGUAAGAUGAUAAUGUUUAGCAUCUGAUAUGUUUUUGUUUGAAUUCAAUCUGGUUUGUAGCUAAGUGUUGCAUUCACCUGAUUACUUGGGGAACUUUCUUGGCGACUUUCUGUUCUCGAGAGAGCCAGCUUUGUGAAAAUCAAAGCAAGAGGGAUCUGAAGUGAAAGCAGAAUCCAAUACUCCACACCACAAGGCUUGAUCGUUAUGAUUCCCUGCACACAUACAUAAACAGAAUCAGUCGACAUUUUUCGCUAUAGCAAAACCGAGAAAGCCUAUUAUAUAUCAUUACCUUGCCAUCUUUAUUCCCACGGAGGAGAUAGAUAACAAAGAAAGACGCCCAAACAAUAACCAAGACACCAAGUUUCGUCCAUGGAAGCUUUGAUUUGUUAUUUUUCACUUGAGCUUCAAGUAAAGGUGCUUUAAGGUUCUUAGUAUCCUCCUCUAUUUCGCCUCGUCCUUUCUCGGGUCUCUCGUGUCCUUUUCCUUUCGUAGUCUCUGACUCAAGUUUCCAAAACUUGACUCCAUUUCUACAAGUCUUCAAGCUAGACCAAGCGAGAAACACAGCGAAAAGAACAGUGAUGAGCCACUCAGGCAAAACUCUGUUGCAGAUAACACCAAUACUCACUCCUAGAAGCAUACAAGGCUCAAGAAGCAAGGCUAAGUCAUAAUCAAGUAAGGCUUUUCCACCAAAGAGAUUGCUGAUUACAUUUGCAAUGGAUCCACCGGUUACCAUAAAAGCAGAGAAGCUUGAAGCUGUUUUCAAGUCAAGACCUGCAACUAUAGUCAUGAUUGGAAUGAAUAAACCUCCACCACCGAUUCCACCUGCGCUCGAGAUUAAGGCAGCGAGGAAGCAAAACACUCCAGCCACAAUGAUUGCUGAAGAUAGCUUGAGUUCUGCAGCACUUGAUUCUUUCAGUGAUGUUCUCCAUUGUUGGACCUUGUAUAGCAGCUUUUGAUGAUAUAUUGUAGGUGGAUUCUCUUGAUUGAUCUCUUCUUGUUGAUUCGCAUUGAUGGCAAAUACACAUAGAAGAAGAAGAAAAAGGACAAAAAGGGUCUUCAUUGUUUUCGCCUGAAAGCGUGGAAACUUUUUCUUGUUUGCUUGUGAUCUAAUUAAAACCAUUGUUGUUCUUUAUAUUGAAAGCUUCAAAGAGUGGUAUGCACAUUUCAUUUUGCAAGUUGCUUUCGGACGCGUAGGCUGCAAGUAAUCUCAUUGACUUACGUACAAAACAAUGAUAUUUUAAGGUAGAUUCAUUAAUUUACCUGUGAUCUGUGGCAAUAUACAGACGAAGAACAGUUCUAAGAAGAAUGGGUGAAGAAACAGUUAUUGUCUGAAACUGUGGAAUAUGUCGUCUUAGAUAAGGAGAAAAAAAAAACAGUUAUUUAAUGGUAUUGGAUUUGACAUGGUGAAUGAUUGUGUAAUGUGUUUGAUCCUAAUGACAAGUCUCUCUUUGCAAUUGUUUAUGUAUUAAAAGACAGCUUUUAAUCUGUUUUUAAGAAGGGGACAAGUAAGCAAAGGAGCGUCUCCUCUGUACUUCAUGGAACAUGAAGAAUCCAGGUUAGUCCAAUAUUAAUUUACAAUUAAAAAGAAAACAUGAAAGAUAUAUAUAUGUUCUACAUGACAAGUCUCUGUUUGCAUUUGGGAACAAGUUGUUCCGAACAACCGGUUCGGUUAGUAACCUGGUUUAAAUUUGAAUAUUAAAUCGGGUUUAUUAUUGGUCGGCAAAAAAAANNNNNNNNNNNNNNNNNNNNNNNNNNNNNNNNNNNNNNNNNNNNNNNNNNNNNNNNNNNNNNNNNNNNNNNNNNNNNNNNNNNNNNNNNNNNNNNNNNNNNNNNNNNNNNNNNNNNNNNNNNNNNNNNNNNNNNNNNNNNNNNNNNNNNNNNNNNNNNNNNNNNNNNNNNNNNNNNNNNNNNNNNNNNNNNNNNNNNNNNNNNNNNNNNNNNNNNNNNNNNNNNNNNNNNNNNNNNNNNNNNNNNNNNNNNNNNNNNNNNNNNNNNNNNNNNNNNNNNNNNNNNNNNNNNNNNNNNNNNNNNNNNNNNNNNNNNNNNNNNNNNNNNNNNNNNNNNNNNNNNNNNNNNNNNNNNNNNNNNNNNNNNNNNNNNNNNNNNNNNNNNNNNNNNNNNNNNNNNNNNNNNNNNNNNNNNNNNNNNNNNNCUACAUAAAUUAAUUGCUUUUUCUUGUUAUAUUUUUAUCUCACUUCCGUAUAUUGUAAAUCAUAUAGGCCCUUUAGUUAUCUGCUUUCUUUCUUUCUCUAUCGUCACUAACAAUUCUUUCUUUCUUUUUUGUUUUCUAUGGAUUAAUAACUUGAUUUAGGUAACCAAUGAUUUAAUCAAAAUAAUUUUAAAUGAUCAUUUAUUUCCAAUUUUCCCAUAUAAUUUUACAAGAAAAAUACAAAAUUUAAAUUUAGCUUAAAUAGCAACAACUUUGUUCAAAGCAAUGACCGUCUCAGCAUAGUACUAUAUAAAACCUAGCUUUGUAUAAAUAAGAUAAUUGAAUAACUUUAUUUCAAAUUAUGGAAGUAUAUUGCACAUUAUUAAUUUUAGUAAAAAAAAAGUACAAACUACUUUUCUUAAAAUGUUGUGUAGUAUAGUCUUUUAAAGAAAGAAAGUAUUUAUUUUCUUUUAAAUUAGUAAUAGAUUAAAAAUGUUGAAAUAUAAUUGAUUAAAAAUGAACAUGUGGUAAUUUUAAUUGGUUAAUUUUUUUAAUUUCUUACUUGUUGAAAUUUUAUCAUUAGAUUUCACAUGUGUCGCCGGGAUCAUAUAUAUAAACUAGUAACUAUACUUUAUAUAAUAAGAUUCUUUAAAAAAUUGAAGUAUAUUAUUUUUUAAGUUAAAAGUAAUUAUUAUUUCUUUUAAAACUAUUAGAAUAUUAAACUUGUUUUAUUUUUAAAAUAAGUCAAAAUCUUACCAGUGUCACACGUACGAUCAUAUGAUUGACUAGAUUUGAAAAUCGACACUUUUUAUAUAGGAUGACUAGUAUAGGGUAAAAUAAUAUUUAAUAUAAUAAAUCAUCUUAGUUAUAGUAGAAUACUGUAUAUACAUUUAAUCAAAAAAAAAUCAUCACGUUUUAAGAGUACACAAUGUUUGUGUUUGAAUCUUUGAUAUAAAAUUAUGUUUUAAACACAAAACGCGUUUAACUAAUUUUUCUGUAACCAAAAACGUCUUCAAGAUGGGCAAAAGAUAGCCGUGAAAAGGUUAUCGAUACAUUCAUCAGGAGAUGGCAAAUGCAGAGUUUAGGACGGAAGUACUCUCUAAUGACCAAACUGCAACACAAGAAUCUUGUUAAACGCUUCGUUUUCUCCAUCAAAGAUUCUGAAAUACUUCUUAUCUAUGAGUUUAUCCCACAUACAAGUCUUAAUCGGUUCUUAUUCGGUAAAUAUAGUCUCUCAUUCGAUCUUUUCUCCUUUCACAAAUUAAAUUAGCUUUUCUCUGUUUCAUUUUUUUUUCUUCUGCUAAUGAAUGUUGAUCCUUUCAAGCAGAAGCAAUUAGACUGGGAAAACCGGUUCAGUAUCAGCACACGGAAUUUCCCGGGGAUUGCUUUACCUACACGAAGGCUCAGAGUUUCUGAUAGUCCACCGUGAUCUCAAAUCCUCCAAUGUGCUUUUAGAUGAACUAAUGCUACCUAAGAUCUCAGAUUUUGGAACGGCAAGACAAUUCGGUUUCGAUAUAACUCAAGCAAUAACAAGAAGAGUUGCCGGAACUUAAUAAGUCUAGCUACUCAAUCUCAAUCUCUCAUCUUUCUUGUUUCUGUCGUGGAUAUAUAUGGCUCUAGAGUAUGCAAUGCACGGAAGAUUCUGAGUGAAAAAAACAGAUGUUUACAGUUUUGGAGUUCUUGUUCCUGAGAUCAUUACAGGUAAAAGAAACAGUGGAUCAGGGCUUGGUGAAGGCACAGAUCUCCCAACUCUUGUAAGUAACAAAAAGAAUAGACAACAACAGAUUAACAAAUCCAAGGACUUAUUGAUCGAGUGAACGUUUUGUCUCUCUUUGUUUUGUUGCAGGCUUGGCAAAAUUAUGUUGAAGGAACAUCAAUGGAUCUAAUAGACUCUAUGUUUUUGAUAUAUUACUCUAAAACACGAUUAGUGCAAUGCCUAGAGAUCGCUCUGUCUUGUGUUCAAGAGACGGCUUGAAGAGGACCCAAAACCAGCAGCUAGCCAAGUCAGAUUUAUGGACAAGCACGUUCGAAAACAGAUAUCUAACAUUCCGACAAUAGGAGAAUACAAGUUGCUUCAAGAGUCUAAUAGUUCAUACAUACUCUUGUUUUUAUAAAUUGGUUAAGUUCCAGACCGGCUUCCAAGUCUAUUUUUAUAACUCAUAUUAGGUCAAGUACCUUUUUCCACACAUCAAGUACAAUUAGCGUGACAGACAAGGAAGGUUUCAACUAGGUUUGAUGUGAUCAAUUAUAUUAAUCAGUGAAAAAUUGAGGAUUCGAAUCAUCGAAUGAGCCUAAGAGGUCAAGUUUGCAGCAGGACUGAAAGGGACGCUCUAUCAAAUCAGAUUCUUAAAAGUCAAAAAGCAAACCAAACAUCAUCAGCUUUGGCGAUUAUGUUCUGGAACCAAACCAAAUACCGAAGACCAACAAUGGAUUCAGCUUAAGAACAUUAGACAUUAUAAAUAAAAAAUAAAGGCGUAAGAAAAUGGAGGACGACUUUGAAAACAGACAGUUAAUAAUACUCAUUAGUAUAUCAAGUACGAUUAAUCACGAGGUAAGUAUGGCAAUAACCUCUGCAUCCAGUCUUGGAAGGGGAAGACCACAAUUCUUAUUUCUGACUAGUCGGCCUUUAUAAGGACAUUACCCAAAGACAUGAGACUCUCACAAUGAUUGGGAAACCAAUCAAUAUUGUGACGGAUGCCUUCCAAAAUUCCAUUAUGAAUCCAGAAUUCUUCGUCUCCAAUCCCUUCAUACACGAUCCUCCUUGCACGCUUUCUCUUUGGAUCAUAAUAUAAAACAGCAAAUGCUUCAAAAGUUGUUGCAGUAAAGAUAAACUCACCAGUAUCAUGAGUAACACCUCUCAUCAGCAGUUGGCAUUUAAAGAUCGGGUCAUUUUGAGGAAAGCUUGGAAAAGGCCAAACAAAGUUGUUGAGCGACCAUUCUUGUUUGUCUCCAUCACCUAAAACCCAAAAUCUUAUACAUGAAAAAUCUAAUUCAGAGCAAACCCAUGCUAAUUUUCCUUGGUAGUUGAGCAUCAAGUUACCAAGUCCAUGAUCAUCAGGUGGUUUUUUUAUUGUGUUGAACUCUUCGUACCUCACGUCGAAGCUCAUAAGGACAUUUUCAAAUAUCAUAGUAUCACCAUCUCCUUUGAAACGUAUCUCCGCUUCAUAAUACACGUGCCCGUUGAUGCAUAUACCUAGUCGUCCCAUGGUGGGUAGAGGGAUAUGUGUAUAUGAAGGGCUAUUUUGGGCCACUCUCCAUGAUUCUUGAGGUCCCAAUGUAAAAACAAAAGGAUCGUGGUAGCCUCUGUGGGUGCCUGAGAUGCACAAUACUUUAUACUUAUCCUCGACCGGAUCGUGUCCUAAACAGCUACGUGUAUAGUACUUAACUAUGGGUUUGGGUGGGUCGGGUAAGGUAACAUGUUGUCUCAUUGAAGGAUUCCAAACUACGAUCUCGUGAAAAUCGCCAAAACUCACCAACCCGUGGACAGAUCCGGAGCCUGGAUCGUGAUAAUGACGAUAAGCACCUUCAGGGUAUUUUAUCUGACAACGGUCCACAUAAGAGCAAUAUGCGGAGUCAACCGAGAGCUCAUGUUGGGGCAGUGAGAUAAAUAAACGUUUGUCUCCUGCUUUGACGCAGACCAGAAGACAAAGCCGACUUGAAGACUGAAACGCGAACGACCUGAUGAAAUCUGGACGAGUGGAGAUGGAUGACCAUAGCUUCGAGACGACACGGAACCUCACAGCAGAUUUAGCGGGAAGUCUCAAGAGUAUAUCAUGAAUCAGAUCAAGAGGAAUCAGCUCGAAAGUCUUACCAAUAAGACUCUCUUCUUCUGUAGGUUGAUUUCUUCUUCUCUCCCCAUAUUCUGUUUCUUCUUCACCUCUUCUAUCCAUCGGAGGCGGCGACCCACUCUUUAGAAAGCCUAAUGUACGUGCAAAGUAAGCCAAACUACGAACCAAAACGAAAAGCCCUCACGUGGAAAUAUAUAUAUAUAAGUAGACUAAUCAUCUUUUGAGGAGGUGUAUUUUGUAAUUGUAAUAUUUUCUUUUCGUUAACGUGUUACGUGUUACGUGUUACUUCAAUAGAGAAAGAUUCCAAAUCCUAUGAAUUACGUCAUCCGACUUACUCCAACCACUCUCAUAGACUCAUUUACCAAGAUAUGUAUCUAAUUUUGACAAUGAUAUAUGUAGUAAGUGCUUCUGUAAUAAGUCUUCCUUUUUUAUUAAAAGCUACAUGUCAGUGUCCAAGUCAAUAGCUUGCGGGCUACUUUACCAUAAGACCGGCAAAAGGAAAAAAUAAAAAGCGUACAAAUGCUUGUUGAUGAAUGAAUAUUCGGAACCACUUAUUAACUCAUUCAUUCGCGCAAACUCGUACGUGUAUAAGUAUUGUUGGUGGAUCUUUGUAUUUUAUAGGACAGAGCAAUGCAGAGUUUAAGUAUUCUUUAAUGACCAAGCUGCAACACAGGAAUCUUGUUAAACUCUAUAAAAGAAUCUGAAACAGAAAGACUUCUUGUGAUCUUUUCGAUUUCUGUAAACGAUGUUUCUCUCACAGCUAUGUCUGGGCGUUAAGUGCUUGCAAUCACAGAAUGUUUCUAAUCCAAUAAAUGAACGAAGAAUAGACAAUUCAAUAUUCAAACCCUAACUUGACAUUUUUUAGGACAAACCCCUUUUACAAAAAAAAAAAUGUUUAUUCUACAAAAGUUUUAAACUUUUUCAGUUGGGGAAAUAAAAAGUUUCGGGAUUUAAAUACCAACUCUGUUCCCUUACAUUCUUCUUCUUCUUCAUUUCUGUGACUAUGGCGGCAGCUACUCUUCGGAAAUUUUCAUCCAACUAUAUACGUAACUCUCUUCAAGGAAUCUUUUUGAGCAGACCCUUUAUCCGGAAACAGCUUCUUCUUCCUUCGAGUUCUCAAAGUUUAUCUUUUUCCUCAGAUAGUCACUUUGGCUCUGCGUCUACUUAUGUUUCUUCGUAUGCAGGUGAGCUUAAUUUAGGAUUUAUCGGUUGAAUUCGAGUUUCGGUGCCACUCAGUUCGAUAAAUUUAUUAAGGUCACCAACUGUUUGUGGAAAUGCGUCUGAGAGCAUGAGUUUUUUUAAUCUGUAUCAGUGACAGUCUUCUCUGUUUGCUCUAUAGACUAUAGACAUAAUCCAUAAGCCAUAUAUUGCACUUGAUGUAUGAGAAUAUAGCGCUGCUUCAUAUGUUAAAAUUUUAAGAUUUACAGAACCGUGAUGAGACAAAGCUUAGCUAAAAGUUCUAAGCAUAAAGAUACAUAAGUAAGACCUUCCAUGAUUUUUGAUGAACUUGUAGCUUUUACUAAGAUUGAAUAUAAAUAAACUGAUGCAUCUUACUCUCUAAGAUGGUAUAGUCUUAGAGACUUUUGGAAUCCUUGUAUUUAGAUGUUGAAACUUACUGUAAGACUUGCCAUUGAUUGUUAUCAAGGAUCAGCGACAAACGGUGGUAUUAUCAGUGAAGGGUUUCUAAGAUGGAGAAAUGGAGGAGGGACAUGUCACCGCUCGGCUGUUAUUGAUUACUCGGCUUUGGUUGAGGUUGGUGCUGUAGUUCAUGAAAAUGCGGUCUUAGGUGCAGAGGCUCAUGUAGGAUCUGGUACUGUACUUGGACCAUCAGUUGAAAUCGGUCCUUCCACAAGAAUUGGGUAACUUUCUUGUACACGUUUCGUAUAGACCGAUGUUGUAUUCAGCAUCUUUAAAAGUUUCUGUUUGAUGAGUUUCUUUUGCUCUAUCCAGAUAUAAUGUUUCAAUUAGCAACUGUAGUAUUGGUGAUUCAUGUGUGAUCCACAAUGGAGUCUGCAUAGGUCAAGAUGGUAUGAACCAAUAGAUUAUCCGAGAUCAUAGGAUUGAAGAGGAUUUGGUUUGAGAUUAGGUCUUUUAAUUGCUCGUUUAUUAUUCUUUCAGGCUUUGGUUUUUAUGUUGAUGAACAUGGAAAUAUGGUGAAGAAGCCUCAAGUAAUAAUCCUCAAUUGCAUUUCUUCACUCUGAAUCAAUCAACAGUUAUUGGUUCAUAACUCAUUCUAAUCUCUUUCUUUCUUUGUCCUCUUUAGACAUUAAACGUGAAGAUAGGGAAUCGUGUAGAAAUUGGAGCAAAUACUUGCAUUGAUCGAGGCAGGUAACAGUUCCGCAUCUAUUGACUAACUUCCAUCAGUGCACUAUGCGCGGUUUCAGUAGCUCUGUAUAACAACAAAUAAUGCAGCUGGAGAGAUACAGUAAUCGAAGAUGACACUAAGAUAGACAACUUAGUGCAGGUUUGGUCUCUUUUUUUGUUUUUGGCCUUUAUAAAAUUGAUCAUAAAACAGUAUCAUGCUUAUUUUCUUUCUUCUUUUUUGGCAGAUAGGUCAUAAUGUGAUCAUAGGAAAAUGUUGCUUGCUUUGUGGUCAAGUAGGCAUAGCUGGUUCAGUAACGUACAUAUCUGAACCCUUUUUGGUUGCAUUGAUAGAAACAAUUUUUUGAAGUUUUUCAAGACUCAAAAAGUCAAUAAACAAAUCUGCAGAAUUGGUGACUAUGUGGCUUUAGGAGGACGAGCAGCUGUUCGAGACCAUGUCUCCAUUGUAUCCAAGGUAUAAUAGGCUUUAACCGGAUUCAAAAAGGCAGUUGUCUUGAUACAGUUUGGUUCACCAAAACUUUUCUUGUGUUCACUGUUUAGGUUCGACUCGCAGCUAAUAGUUGUGUUACUAGAAACAUCAGUGAGCCAGGGGAUUUUGGAGGUUUUCCUGCUGUAAGCAAUCUCUUGAGUUAAAUCUGUUUAUCUUUUUUUCCAACAUUUCAUCAAGAAUCAGUAAAACAAUAAACCGAAUUUAUCGAUAUCCAACUAAAACAGAGCUGAAAACAUGAUUUCCAAGAAGACUAAUAGAAAUCUUGUUUCGACUUCAGGUUCCAAUUCACGAAUGGAGAAAGCAGAUUGUUCGAGCUCAGAUAUCUAACAAGAGAAGAGAACCUAAAUCGAUCUAGUCACAAUGUAUUUGUAUAAUGUCACUUCGUUUGAUUUUCCUAAACUAAAUUUUGCUUCAUGUUUGUCUUGUGGUGGUAAAGAUACACAUUGAUCAGAAACACAAACCAGUAACUUAGAUGUACUGCUCAACUAAACAAUAAUUUUUUCUUUGACCGGACUAAAUCACUAAACAAUGAUGUUUGGAGAACUCAAACUACUAAACAAUAAUAUCUGUUAUAAAGCAUUUUGAGUUUCCUUUCCCGUGCCACAUUAAGAGAACUUUGUGAAGGAAAAUCCAAAACAAAAUUUACCCGAGAUUUGAGGACUCAAACCAACGGUCUCAAUUCUGAAGAGUUGUUUUGCCAUAUCAACAAAAACAAAGUAAGAAAGGAAAAAGGACAGUGAAAAGAGAAGACAGAGAUUAGUUUUGUUUAAAAUGAAUCUCGAUGAUGGACUUGUUUUGUUUUUUACGUCAAGACCAAGUAACUGGUUUAAAACUUCAAAGUUAAUAGUACAACAAAAUGUGAAUUAUUAUGACCAUACACAAUAUAAUUGUCUCUCUCUAUCUAUAUAUAUACACAUAUAUGAUAUAGGAAAACUUUGGAUAUUUAUUAUUUUAUUUGGUAGUAUUAUUAGUAUGGGACUUCAUUAUUCACAAAACUUCAAAUGUAUUCUUGUGAGACAGCUUCUCUGGCUACGAUUCAUUAGUAAUGAGCCACUUCCUUUAAUCAAUCAAAUGGUUUUUUCUUAUAUUUUCUCUAAUCUCUUUCGUAUUUUGCGGUCCACCAUGUUAUUGCAUGGUUUUAUGGUAGCCACUAGUAUUAUGUUUUCUUAGAAUCAGUCCAAAUCGUUAAUAUGGUCUAGUACAUCAUAAAGAUGUUUAGUUUUUGCAAAUCGAACCGAAUAUCGUAUAAACAGAAAGAAAUAAAAUAUAAAAGUUCAAACCAAUUUUGACGUUAAACUAAUGUUUUCAAGGAUAUGGGAACAUCCCUAUACAUAUUUUUGUAUUUUCGAAUCAAUUAUUGGAUUUACGGUGUAAGGUUACUGUCAGGUCUGAUCUUAACUUUGAUUAAAGCUUGGUACGUACAAAGCUUGACUGGAUCAGAAUGCAUCCUAGAUUUUUUUUUUUUUUUGACAUAAUAAGACAAGAAUCAUAACUAUCAAUGUUAUUUUUAUUGUUUCUACUAAAUUGUAAAAUAUGAGCAUCACAUACUAAGAUUGUUAUUGGUUUAAUAUGAGCAUCAUCACAUACUAAGAAUCAUAACUAUGAUCGUAUAGUACUGUCAUUAGACUGGUAAUUUUAAACUUAAGUCUCAAACCAAUGAAUCUGAUCGACAUACCAAAUCCCAAGCCACAUAGAGUCGAUCUGUUCUUUACUUGGACAACCUUGCAAACUUAGGAAGUGUAUAAUAUUAUACGAAGAGAUGAUAUGUCUAAGCCAGCACAAGUCCUUUGGAAAAUAUCUAAACGUACAAUACAAACACCUUCUAGAUAAUAUAUAUAUAUAUAUAUAUAUAUAUUUUUAGUUAUUNNNNNNNNNNNNNNNNNNNNNNNNNNNNNNNNNNNNNNNNNNNNNNNNNNNNNNNNNNNNNNNNNNNNNNNNNNNNNNNNNNNNNNNNNNNNNNNNNNNNNNNNNNNNNNNNNNNNNNNNNNNNNNNNNNNNNNNNNNNNNNNNNNNNNNNNNNNNNNNNNNNNNNNNNNNNNNNNNNNNNNUCUCAGUUGGUUUUUGGUAAAUAUGGUCAAACGGUAAAAAUCAGAUUAAAAAAAAAGAGUAAAAAAAUUUACAGACUGAUCAAUUGUUUUGGAAUUUCCUGUUCGGGUAAACAAAAUGAUUUCCUUUUUUAGAAAAAAACGAAACUUAUUAUUAAACUGCAAACGGAUUAUGAUAUUGGACAACAUCUUAAAAUGACUUGUUUGUUUGCAAUUAUUGUUGAUGAUGUGCUGGUAGCUAAGCUAUAGUUUAAAUAGCAAUUAGGUAUAUAGUCUAUUUUUUCAUUUCCGAUUUAAUAUCUACGUAUAGCACUUUCGAAAAUUGCAAAUAGUUUCGUUCUCAAAUUGAUGUGAAAUUAAGUGGGGUUUUGACAUAAAUUUAUAUGACUUAGCACUUAGCACAAUUUUACAUUAUAUGAAUUGACGUAACUUAACUUUGUUAGCGUUGACCACAAAUUAUUUCUGUUGUUGUUAAUUAUGUUGCCUACAUUGAACUUGUUAAUAACUUAAUUGUUGUUAAUUGCCAACUUGAUACUACUAUUUUCACUUAUUUAAAGCUUAAAUUAUGACAUCUAAAUAAAAUGAUACUCCAGUUCCAAACAUCAUUAUAAAUAGUUCCAUACAAAAUGUUAGUGGCUAUUAUCUCAAAAAUCUAUUGUCUACACUUGAAAUAAAAUAUUUGUGAUUGACUUAGUAUUAAUUUAAGUUUUUUUCAUAAUGAAACCCAACAAUGAUAUAUAUGACAAUUUACAAAAUUACAACAUGGAAAUAUUAAAAAGUGGAAGAAAGCUUUGGAGUCAAAAUGAAAAAAAAAGAAAGAGUGCCUUCAGAAGCAAGCAGGUCAUCAAAAUAGGGAAGUUAGUUGCUCACCACCCUUCAUGAUUAUUCAUCGCAUAUUCCUCAAAUUAAUAUAACCAACUUCGAUUUUUUUUAAAUCAAAAACCAAAUAAUCCUGAUGUCAUAUUAUUAUAUUGAGAAAUCCUAACACUGAUUAGAUUCUAAAUUAAUAAUUGUGUUCGUAGAAAACAAACAAAAUUCUAUCUAUACAUGGAUAAUUCAGCCCACAGCACAUAUGAGAACUAUGAUCGAAUUUUCUAAUGAAAUGUAAUAUUUUUGUUUUUCAUAGAAAAACUGUAAUUCAUUUUUGAUUAAAUGAAUAUUCUUCUACAUAUUUUUGUUAAUAUAGCUAAGUUUACAUUUCCAGAACAAACACUAAA